rnacentral:rRNA from 1 species
ACGAACGCUGGCGGCGUGCCUAACACAUGCAAGUCGUGCGAGAAAGUUCCCUUCGGGGAGCGAGUAAAGCGGCGCACGGGUGAGUAACACGUAGGUAACCUACCCUGUAAUCGGGAAUAACCCGGGGAAACCCGGGCUAAUGCCGGAUGAGACCACGGCUGCUUCGGCAGCCGAGGCCAAAGGCGGCCUCUACACGUAAGCUGCCGCUACAGGAUGGGCCUGCGGCCCAUUAGCUAGUUGGUAGGGUAACGGCCUACCAAGGCUGUGAUGGGUAGCUGGUCUGAGAGGAUGAUCAGCCACACUGGGACUGAGACACGGCCCAGACUCCUACGGGAGGCAGCAGUGGGGAAUAUUGCGCAAUGGGGGAAACCCUGACGCAGCGACGCCGCGUGGGUGAUGAAGGCCUUCGGGUCGUAAAGCCCUGUCGUAGGGGAAGAACCGGUGGGCGGCUAAUACCCGCCUGCCUUG